rnacentral:rRNA from 1 species
UACGAAGGGGGCUAGCGUUGCUCGGAAUCACUGGGCGUAAAGCGCACGUAGGCGGCUUUCUACGUCAGGGGUGAAAUCCUGGAGCUCAACUCCAGAACUGCCUUUGAUACUGGAGAGCUAGAGUCCGGAAGAGGUGAGUGGAACUGCGAGUGUAGAGGUGAAAUUCGUAGAUAUUCGCAAGAACACCAGUGGCGAAGGCGGCUCACUGGUCCGGUACUGACGCUGAGGUGCGAAAGCAUGGGGAGCGAACAGG